rnacentral:rRNA from 1 species
CGCUAGCCGCCGUGCUUAACACAUGCAAAGUCGAGCGUAAAGCCCUUUCGGGGACACGAGAUGGCGAACCGAUGAGUAACACGUGGGGUGACCUGCCGUCAGCUAUGAGAUAAGCUCGGGAAACUGGUCUAAAACCGGAUAUAACUCCAUGACGCAUGCUGUGGGGAGGAAAGCCUUGUGCGGCUGAGGAUGGGCCCGCGGCCUAUCAACUAGUUGGUGGGGUGAUGGCCUACCAAGGCGACGACGGGUAGCCGGCCUGAGAGGGCGACCGGCCACACUGGGACUGAGACACGGCCCAGACUCCACGGGAGGCAGCAGUGGGGAAUCUUGCGCAAUGGGCGAAAGCCUGACGCAGCGACGCCGCGUGAGGGAUGACGGCCUUCGGGUUGUAAACCUCUUUCAGCUCCGACGAAGCGGAAGUGACGGUAGGAGCAGAAGAAGCACCGGCCAAUUACGUGCCAGCAGCCGCGGUAAUACGUAGGGUGCAAGCGUUGUCCGGAAUUAUUGGGCGUAAAGAGCUCGUAGGCGGUCUGUCGCGUCGGCUGUGAAAACUCGGGGCUCAACUCCGAGCUUGCAGUCGAUACGGGCAGGCUAGAGUUCGGCAGGGGAGACUGGAAUUCCUGGUGUAGCGGUGAAAUGCGCAGAUAUCAGGAGGAACACCGGUGGCGAAGGCGGGUCUCUGGGCCGAUACUGACUCUGAGGAGCGAAAGCGUGGGGAGCGAACAGGAUUAGAUACCCUGGUAGUCCACGCCGUAAACGUUGGGCGCUAGGUGUGGGAUCCCUUCCACGGGUUCCGUGCCGCAGCUAACGCAUUAAGCGCCCCGCCUGGGGAGUACGGCCGCAAGGCUAAAACUCAAAUGAAUUGACGGGG